rnacentral:pre_miRNA from 1 species
CGUUUGAGGCCCAUAAUAUGUUAAAAUGCUCAAAAUUAAAUGAGGAAUCCCCUAACAAAUAUCCAAAGGGGAUUUAGUCAACUCAUUUUUCCAAAAAUAGGAUUUAAGAUUUUUGCCAGGGGAUUCCUCAUUUAAUUUCGAACAUUUUGACAUAUUAUGGGUCUCAGACGGACAU